UGAGGAAUAUUGGUCAAUGGACGCAAGUCUGAACCAGCCAAGUAGCGUGCAGGAUGACGGCCCUAUGGGUUGUAAACUGCUUUUAUAUGGGGAUAAAGUGGGGAACGUGUUCCCUUUUGCAGGUACCAUAUGAAUAAGGACCGGCUAAUUCCGUGCCAGCAGCCGCGGUAAUACGGAAGGUUCGGGCGUUAUCCGGAUUUAUUGGGUUUAAAGGGAGCGUAGGCCGUUUGGUAAGCGUGUUGUGAAAUGUAGGAGCUCAACUUCUAGAUUGCAGCGCGAACUGUCAGACUUGAGUGCGCACAACGUAGGCGGAAUUCUUGGUGUAGCGGUGAAAUGCUUAGAUAUCAUGAAGAACUCCGAUUGCGAAGGCAGCUUACGGGAGCGCAACUGACGCUGAAGCUCGAAGGUGCGGGUAUCGAACAGG
rnacentral:rRNA from 1 species